GAUUAGAGCACGAGUUUCACUCCCUGCGCGCCCUUUUGCUUUCACCAGUGGCCUUAUAAAAGAGAUUCUGCAUGUUGCUCUAGGUGAUUUCGCUUCAUGACAAUUUUUUUUUCCCCUUCUAGGAACUUGCCACAGCAAACAUGAAGGCGGCUAUUCAUGCAACGCGUAGGAUCCCUCCAUGCACAAAAAAGAGGAUUCAUGCUUACUCCACUCUCAUCUACAGAACUCAUAAAGAGGUUAGUCCUGUUGGACUGAGAAGUCCUGAGUUUCUGACCAGGAGGCAUGGUGUCCCCAGACCGAUCCUGCUCAGGCUUGUAGGCUUAGAGGCUUCUCGGCUGUCCAAGUCAAACAGGUUGAAAGUCAUCACUCGGCGAGAGAUCAGUGCUGCUGUUGCACACGUACAACGGAGGAUUCAUGCAAGAGCUGCUGCAUGAAGAUAUAGACUUUAAAACAAAAUUUUAUUUUUAUUAUUAAAGGGUUUAUUUUAA